GAGGUGGGAGAAUCGCUUGAGACCGGGAGUUUGAGGAUGCAGUGAGCUAUGAUUGCACCACUGCACUCCAGCCUGAGUGACAGAGCAAGACCUUGUCUC
rnacentral:miRNA from 10 species